ACAUGAAGUUGAACACACAUGAAGUUGAACACACAUGACGGUGAACACACAUGAAGUUGAACACACAUGAUGGUGAACACACAUGAAGUUGAACACACAUGAUGGUGAACACACAUGAAGUUGAACACACAUGAUGGUGAACACACAUGAAGUUGAACACACAUGAUGGUGAACACACAUGAAGUUGAACACACAUGACGGUGAACACACAUGAAGUUGAACACACAUGAUGGUGAACACACAUGAAGUUGAACACACAUGACGGUGAACACACAUGGAGUUGAACACACAUGAUGUUGAACACACAUGAAGUUGAACACACAUGACGGUGAACACACAUGAAGUUGAACACACAUGAAGUUGAACACACAUGAUGUUGAACACACAUGACGGUGAACACACAUGAAGUUGAACACACAUGAUGGUGAACACACAUGGAGUUGAACACACAUGAUGGUGAACACACAUGAAGUUGAACACACAUGAUGGUGAACACACAUGACGGUGAACACACAUGAAGUUGAACACACAUGAUGGUGAACACACAUGAAGUUGAACACACAUGAUGGUGAACACACAUGGAGUUGAA